rnacentral:rRNA from 1 species
UACAGAGGUGGCAAGCGUUGUUCGGAAUUACUGGGCGUAAAGGGCGCGUAGGCGGUUGCCUAAGUCGGACGUGAAAUCCCCAAGCUUAACUUGGGAACUGCAUCUGAUACUGGGUGACUUGAGUUCGGGAGAGGAAUGUGGAAUUCCAGGUGUAGCGGUGAAAUGCGUAGAUAUCUGGAGGAACACCGGUGGCGAAGGCGGCAUCCUGGACCGACACUGACACUGAGGAGCGAAAGCCAGGGGAGCAAACGGG